rnacentral:rRNA from 1 species
GAUGAACGCUGGCGGCGUGCCUAAUACAUGCAAGUCGAGCGAACCACUUCGGUGGAGAGCGGCGAAUGGGUGAGUAACACGUAGGUCAUCUACCCAUUAGACGGGGAUAACGUUUGGAAACGAACGCUAAUACCGGAUAGGAAGAAAUUUUAAAGGUGCUUUCGGGCACCGCUAAUGGAUGAGCCUGCGGCGCAUUAGCUAGUUGGUAAGGUAAGAGCUUACCAAGGCGACGAUGCGUAGCCGACCUGAGAGGGUGAACGGCCACACUGGGACUGAGACACGACCCAGACUCCUACGGGAGGCAGCAGUAGGGAAUCUUCGGCAAUGGACGAAAGUCUGACCGAGCAACGCCGCGUGAAUGAAGAAGGCCUUCGGGUUGUAAAAUUCUGUUAUAAGGGAAGAAAGACUAUAGUAGGAAAUGGCUAUAGAGUGACGGUACCUUAUGAGAAAGCCACGGCUAACUACGUGCCAGCCGCCGCGGUAAUAC